GAGAAGAUAUUCUAGGUCCUACUUGAGUGGACACCGGUAGAGGCCAGGUGCUUGCGUGUCUACAUCAGAACCUCGAGCUGUGCUGAGAUCAUCUAUAGGGUAAUCAGAUUACCUUUGAGGUAUGUCUAUACUUCUCAUACUUUUUUAUUUAAUUUUAGAUUUUAACUAUCAGAUAAUAAAAUUAAAUCUAACAGACAUUAGAUUUGAAAUAGGGUAGGAUAAAAUUUUUAAAUUAUUCCACCCC
rnacentral:lncRNA from 1 species